rnacentral:lncRNA from 1 species
UUGAAGAACCCACCUAUUGUCCCCUUCUUUAUAUCUACUCAUUUUUUGAGCUUCUCUAUUGUGCUCAGAUCUGAACCCGACCAAUAAUAUGUUCAAGCUUGAUCCCGAAGAAGAGUAAACUAUAUAUUCGAGCCCAAAUCUGAUCUGAUUUUGCUCGAGCCUAGCCCAUAGUCCGAUUUGAAGUCAGAUCAAUUUGAAGUCCAUUAGUCUAGUUUGAGCCUAUUUCCAGCUUUAGAAGAAGAGCAGGGGGACAG